UCCCUGGUGGUCCAGUGGCUAAGACUCUGCACUUCCACUGCAGAGGGCACAGGUUCAAUCCCCGGUCAGAGAA
rnacentral:tRNA from 1 species